rnacentral:tRNA from 1 species
AGAAAUUUAGGAUAAUUAAACCAAGAGCCUUCAAAGCUCUCAAUAGAGGCUAAAACCCUUUAAUUUCUG